rnacentral:misc_RNA from 1 species
UCUCCGUAGGUGAACCUGCGGAGGGAUCAUUACAAGAAACGACCCCGGUUUUACCACCGGGUGAUUUCAUAACCCUUUGUUGUCCGACUCUGUUGCCUCCGGGGCGACCCUGCCUUCGGGCGGGGGCUCCGGGUGGACAAAUUCAAACUCUUGCGUAACUUUGCAGUCUGAGUAAAUUUAAUUAAUAAAUUAAAACUUUCAACAACGGAUCUCUUGGUUCUG